AUUGAACGCUGGCGGCAGGCCUAACACAUGCAAGUCGAGCGGAUGAAGAGAGCUUGCUCUCUGAUUUAGCGGCGGACGGGUGAGUAAUGCCUAGGAAUCUGCCUGGUAGUGGGGGAUAACGUCCGGAAACGGGCGCUAAUACCGCACACGUCCUACGGGAGAAAGCAGGGGACCUUCGGGCCUUGCGCUAUCAGAUGAGCCUAGGUCGGUUUAGCUAGUUGGUGAGGUAAUGGCUCACCAAGGCUACGAUCCGUAACUGGUCUGAGAGGAUGAUCAGUCACACUCGAACUGGGACACGGUCCAGACUCCUACGAGAGGCAGCAGUGGGGAAGAUUGGACAAUGGGCGAAAGCCUGAUCCAGCCAUGCCGCGUGUGUGAAGAAGGUCUUCGGAUUGUAAAGCACUUUAAGUUGGGAGGAAGGGCAGUAAGUUAAUACCUUGCUGUUUUGACGUUACCGACAGAAUAAGCACCGGCUAACUUCGUGCCAGCAGCCGCCGUAAAAC
rnacentral:rRNA from 1 species